CUUUACCUGAAAAGAUCUUCUACCUUCUACCCUUGCUGCCUUGGAACCUGGGACCACCAUGCUGUGAAGACUCCAGGGACAUGAGGCCAUGUGGAGAGAGUACCAACCAUUACAACCAUCCCAGCCAUUUAGCCUGAUCCCCCACACUGAGUCUGUUAUUGGUGUUCUUGUAAUCUCCCAGGAUAGAAAUCAAGAGAGAUCACCAGCCACAGCAGCAAAGAAAAAGAGAAAGCUUCAUUUAGCUGGUGCGCAGGGAAAGGCAGCACCAUGGAAGUAGUUAACAGUUCUGCAGAACAUUUUAGAAAUGGCAACAUAAGUAUAAACAACAAAACAGUGAGAUUCUGAUACCAACUUCCAGUUCCUCCUCACCAAGACUUUGUGAAAACUCUUCAGCUCAUCUGGCAAAACGAACAGGCAAAGACGCAGAUACCAGGACACUUCCUUUUGAACACUUGGCUGCAGAAGCUAAGAGACAUGGG